AUGCACUCAACAAGUGUGCCCUGCCCCCAGCUCACGGCCUGGCACAGCCGGAGCCAGAAGGGGGCCACGCGGCCGGCAUGGAGAUGCCUCUUUGGGACUGACCAGCGGGCGUUGUCAUCGGGGCUCUGCAGCAGGGGGCGCCACAGACACCAGGUCUCUCUGGUGUCAUGGAGAGGAGGAAGGCGUGGCCGGCGUCAGGGCCGGCCUGGGACGGAGACACCAUUGGACAGAGAACGCUCCCAGGGAGCCGAGCCACAUUUUUUCCAGAAAAAUGUUGGAAGCCUCGGUGGCCAGCCCCGAGGUCCUCCUUGCCCAGGAAGCUGUGCGGUGACCCGGCCCGGGAGCUCCCAGUGCCCAGGUACACGAUGGGGGCAGCUAACACGCGGCUGGCUGCCGUCUGUGGGCGGCAGUGGGCGGGUGGUGUGGCGCAGUGAAGGCCUGGUCAGGCCAUGCCGGCUCCUUUCCUGGACAGAGGCCGGCGGGCACAGCUGUUUUCCACCCAGCUCUCCCCACGCCAACUGUGGUUCCUGGAAACAUCUCUCACUCGAGGAGGCCUUCCUGGGGCCCCUACUCGGGGCGCCCCCUGCCUCCUCUGCCUCCUAGCCCGGGCCUCCCAGCCUUGCAGGUGGGUGUCUCCCUCUCCUCAAGUGAGGAGCCCUGGCCAUCGCUACCCCAGACCUACAGCCUGGCCCCAUGUGGCCUUGCGGCCGUGUGACAUGGGUGAGCCCAGGACAGGCCUGGAGGCACCCCCACGCCCCCAGCUCAGAGGCCUCAGAGUUCCUGAGUUCUGGGUGACAGUCCUCAGGCUGCUUCUGUCUGUGACAGUUCACUUUCACUCACAGUUACCACAGCCCUUGCCCCAAGACAAGUGGGCUCAGAAGUGAGGGAGGGGACCGUUUCCCCAGCUGCUGGGCUGGGGAGGAGGCCCAGCUUGUGACCGCACUGGACAGAGGUGCACCUGUCCCUGUCCUGGGCUCGCUCCACGGGGGCAGUGGAGGAGCGGGGCCCUGGGAGCCCCAGGCCACCUCCACCAGCCAGCAGACCGGACCCCUCCUGAGUGGGGUCAGCCGCAGCAAGCCCCCAGGCCCCGUGAGCACCGGCCUGCUCGGCACCGGCCAGGAGCCCAGGUACAGGCCGCACCCAGGUGUCCUGGGGACCUGGAGCCUGCAGAGGUCCCCUUCGUCGAGGAGGCGGCAGGGUCUCCUUGACAGAGCUUGAGUCUACUCCGACCUUGGGCAAGUGCCUCGGCCUGUGCGGACAAGGUCAGCGACAGGGACGGCUCUCUGUGACCGUCCCUCUCCUUACCCUCAGAACCCCUCCCCCCUCUGGUUCCUCCAGGGCUGUUGGAGCCAGCAGCCCCUUCCCCUGAGCGCAGGGGCUCCUGCCAUGGCCGCUCCGCGUGCUGCAGGACGCCAUGGCCGCCCCGGGAGCCCCCGCCGUGUGGGGCCGCCCCAGCCCGUGCAGCUCCUCACUCACGUCUGCCCUUUCCUUGCAGGCUCCCGUCACGACCAUGAGACCAGGCUCUCGUGGGGCCCCCGAGGGGUGAGGAUGGCCACCCAGCGCCCUCCCCGGGGCCCCCCCCGGACCACUGCAUCCUAGCACC
ensembl:lncRNA